CAUUGAGAGAGUCUGCUGUAAACUUACUGAAUUAUCACAUAAUGUAACAAAUGCCAUAGACAGGCUGGUUUAAACAACAGAAACUUAUUUUUGCACAAUUCCAGCAUCUGGAAGUUCAAGACCAACGUGCUGGCAGGGUUGGUUUCUUCUGAAUGUAGAUGGCUGUUUUCUCUCUGUAUCUGCAUGUACUUUUUAUUACAGUUUCAUAAGUUCUGACAAAUGCACAGAUUCUCCUCUCCUUCCCUCAUGCAGCACCUUUACACAGUGGCUUGGAUGCCUGGUGCUAAGCAAGGGUGUAUGGAUGCAGAUGCCCAGACCUUGAUCUAAGCUAGGAUGCAAAAGCAAAGGAUGCAAAGGAGAUGGGGACCCACCAGGAUGGGGAAGGCACCACUCCCCAGGUUAUUAAGUACGAAGAACCAUUGUGGGGCAUGGCGAAUACAUAAUCCUUGUCCCACAGAAGCUUGCCUAGGAGACAAGAUUUGCACCCUUGAAAUGAAACUUUUUCCAUGUUGGCAGGUGUGGCUUAGCAGAAAGAACACCACCUGAGGUGUCAGGAAUUCUAGCUCUGCAUCCCAUUUGCUGAUUUCUUGGGCUUAAAUCACUUUACCUCUUGGAACCGCGGUAUAUUCACAG
rnacentral:lncRNA from 1 species